AUUCCAACUGUUCAGCCUAUAUUAGUUCACUAGCACCCUAUGCACAGAAAAUUCAAAAAGUUCUGUCACUGCAAGCAAUAAACUUAUCUAUCAUAAUAAUAGUUCUAUACAAAUCUGAUCAAUUGCUUCCAUUAGGUGAAACAGCAAACUCCAUUCAACCACCUGAAAAUAAUUGUAACUUGCAAGAAGAUGGCAAAUUGUGUGAUGAGAAGACAUGUUUCUCUUGCAAUAGUAUACGAGAAGCAAAUUCACAAAUUGUUCGAGGAACUCUCUUGGUGAGAAUACUUGUCAAAAACAUUUCAUUAGUUUGGCAUCAUUCCUAUAAGGAUUGAUAAUAUCAAUCUAAGCCAAAAACUAACCGAUAUUCACCACACAUCAUCAACAGAUACCAUGUCGAACAGCAAUGAGAGGGAGUUUUCCCCUCAAUGGUACAUAUUUCCAAGUCAAUGAGGUAGAUUUUCUAAACUCAGGUUACUCUACUCAGAACUAACAGCAGAUGGAUAAUACUAACAAAAUAAGCUUUAUGAAGGUGUUUGCGGACCAUGAUUCUAGCCUCAACCCAAUUGAUGUUCCUAGAUCUUGGAUAUGGAACCUACCAAGACGGACUGUAUACUUCGGAACAUCAAUACCAACAAUAUUUAAGGGUAAGCAUAAUUCGAGAACAUAGUCCUAACAAAUAGCACAAAGUCAACCACUGACAUUCAUUAUUUUAUCUUUUUUGGUAUAUCAGGUUUGACAACGGAAGGUAUUCAACACUGUUUCUGGAGAGGUACCAGAUAAUUCCAACUCUCUACUAUUCUGCUUUCUUAGAUGCUUUGACUUAAACUUUAAAGUCUAGCUAUAAGCACUGCAGUUGUAACUUUAGCUACAAAUAAAAGCAACAUAACUUUGCAAUGUAUAACGGCACAUAUGAGCUCCAAACAACCUCACAUUUGAAACUUCAAGACCUAGGAGAAAUAACUUUGCCCUGCCUCAGCCUCACAAAUCUAAUAUUAGCAGUUUACUAUCACACCAAAAUGUUAGCAAACAAAAGUGAUCGAUGAUAAAAUAUUAUGAUACAUCUAUUACUACCUUUUAAUGUUAUAACCUUACUGCAAGUGAUGCCUCCUCACUUGACAGCUACAUGAGUGAAAUUUUCAAUCUGUUCCAGUACAUUUAUUUGCCAAACCCCCAGGUCUGUCAAAUUCAACAGAGACUAAUAGGGAAUCCUUAAGAACACCAUUCAAACACAGUAUCCCGAAAUCAGCAGGAAGGAAUAUGCUGCUUCUUUAGAGAAUUUAUUGACGUGGCCAAUUGAACUUCACUUGAAAUAGAAAAUAUGCAAAAUGUUGGCGUUGCCAUUUGAAAAACCAAGUAAUCAAGUGCUUAACUGAUAACAUCUACAUCAAGGUUCCAAAUCUCUCAGAUCGCAGGCAUGUGUAUACCUGGAUGGAAAGCCGAUGGAGUUCUUGUCCGGGUGUUCCUGUGUUGAAUUGGUAAAGAAAGAAUUACUAUAGUAGCAUCCCAAUCAAACAAUAUACCCUCAAUGUCCCAUAUGCAUCUGCCCCACUAACACUAACUCUAGUGUAACAUUGUAAUCUUCAUCAAAUAAGAGAUGCGCAUUAGUUAAAAGGUGAGUUAAAAAAAGAUAAAGCACCACUCUGGUAGCAUUACAAUGAGCAAUUCCUCAUACAACUCAACCACACAAUGUACCUGCCCUACUAACUCCAUUCAAAUUUGACAUUGAAAUUAAUCUUGAUCAAAAAAAAAAAAAAAAAGCACAAUAGCACGGGUCAUAGUAGGUAGGACAUCCUUUAGCUAUAUAUGUAUGCAAAUGUUUCAAAAUUCGUUUUUCUUAUUAAAAGAUGAUCAUUCAAUCCUCUUUUAGGGUGUGAACUUUGAUUUUGUAGUUGCUUGUCCACAACACAAACUUGCAAAAAGCACUGUGUAACUGAGAUGCGUACACUUCAUGACUGCAGGUUUUGUUUGUGUUAGAGGAUUUGACCAAAAGACAAGGGCACCUCGUCCUCUGAUGGCCAGACUACAUUUCCCAGCCAGCAAAUUAAACAGGGCAAAAGGAAAGGAUUCAAAUGAAUAACAAACAAUUCCCUGCAAUAAUCAAAUACAACUUCAAGAACCAGAUGACAGUGUUUGGAUAACAAUAACCAGCAGCACCACAUUCGAAGAGUGUAACUUGGCUUUCACAGGGAAAAGGAAAAAGGCAGAAGUCCGGUUGAGUUGUGUGAUCCUGUAAUAUACGAUCAUGUAGCAUGUACAUGGUUAACAAAGCUGUAAUUUUCUUAAUUUUCUUAAAUGUUAUGCUCGUAUUUGAGCCAUUCUUCCCAAACAGGUCAAGAUCAGUAAAAUCACAGAUUCCAGAAAAAUGGAAUAUCAUAGUCGCUAUGCCUUGCAUUAAGCGCAGAGAAAACCCAGAGCUAAUCGGAUCCUAAUAAAAACACUUCAAAACCACAGAUUCAAGUAUGCGAAAAAUAGAGCAACAAAACAAAAACUUAAUAUCCAAUCCUUAGAUGCACUCGAGAUAAGAAAAUAACACCUAACACUUGCAAGUCAAAACCAUAUCAUAUCCUGUUCUAUCUGGUUGCUUAUUAACUCAACGAAGUCCAAAAGGUUGAUGAGAUUCAAACUAAAUAAUUUUAACUACAAUUGCAUCAAAGCGUGUUUCCAAGUCCAAAAGAUCAACGAGACUUGAGAUAGAAACAUGCUUCAACCUCCGAUCAAUAAAUCCAUUUCUGCUUAACCCAACCACGCCCUAUCGGUAGAUCCAAUUCUAACAAACAUGCGUAAUUAUAAUUAUAAUUGCGUCAUGCAACAUGCAAAUUAAACACGGAACUUCCAAUCUAUGGAUCCAAUUCAAUUUUAACUGCAAGUAAUUGAAUGUUUAGAAAAUAAAGCAAUUCAACCAAAAUAAACACGGAACUUUCGACCUAUGGAUCCAAUUCAAUUAUAAAUGCAAAUAAUUGAAUGUUUUGGAAACACAGCAAUCCAACCAACGCAGAGAAACAACAGAUAUUAAGCUAACACAACAAAGAGCAUAAUCAUAAAAGACAAAAUCAUGGUGAUGACCGUAAAGGUUACCGAUGUAAAAGAAACAUACCUAUAGACUCAUCGAUUGAACGGCCGGAGGUUAGAGGUGUUUUAUCAAGGCCUUUUUUGCCGCCUUGCCGCUUCUUUUGAUCUUUAUUUUCCCUCCCAAUUAGGAUGGUUUAAGCAACCUAUGAGCCUUCCUGUUUUUGAAAUACGCGCCACACAUGCGGAGCGUCGGGUCAUAUCUGACGGCCACUAAGGUAUGCAGAUCAAUUUAGCAUUAAAGCCUGCAAAAUAUUAGAAAGGAAAACUUUUCAAAAAAAGUUAAAUCAAUAAAAAGAUUUG
rnacentral:lncRNA from 1 species